AUUGAACGCUGGCGGAAUGCUUUACACAUGCAAGUCGAACGGCAGCACGGACUUCGGUCUGGUGGCGAGUGGCGAACGGGUGAGUAAUGUAUCGGAACGUGCCCAGUCGUGGGGGAUAACGUAGUGAAAAUUACGCUAAUACCGCAUACGAUCUAUGGAUGAAAGCGGGGGAUCGCAAGACCUCGCGCGAUUGGAGCGGCCGAUAUCAGAUUAGGUAGUUGGUGGGGUAAAGGCCCACCAAGCCAACGAUCUGUAGCUGGUCUGAGAGGACGCACAGCCACACGGGAACUGAGACACGGUCCAGACUCCUACGGGAGGCAGAAGUGGGGAAUUUUGGACAAUGGGCGAAAGCCUGAUCCAGCCAUUCCGCGUGCAGGAUGAAGGCCCUCGGGUUGUAAACUGCUUUUGUACAGAACGAGAAGGUUUCUACUAAUACUAGGAGCUCAUGACGGUACUGUAAGAAUAAGCACCGGCUAACUACGUGCCAGCCGCCGCAGUAA
rnacentral:rRNA from 1 species